rnacentral:rRNA from 1 species
UACGUAGGGAGCAAGCGUUGUCCGGAAUCAUUGGGCGUAAAGCGCGCGUAGGUGGCCUCAUAAGUCCGCUGUGAAAGUCAACGGCUCAACUGUUGAAAGCCGGUGGAUACUGUCGGGCUAGAGUACGGAAGAGGCAAGUGGAAUUCCUGGUGUAGCGGUGGAAUGCGCAGAUAUCAGGAGGAACACCUAUAGCGAAGGCAGCUUGCUGGGACGUUACUGACGCUAAGGCGCGAAAGCGUGGGGAGCGAACAGG